AGAGUUUGAUCCUGGCUCAGAAUCAACGCUGGCGGCGUGCCUAACACAUGCAAGUCGCACGAGAAAGUGGAGCAAUCCAUGAGUAAAGUGGCGCACGGGUGAGUAACACGUGACUAACCUACCCUCGAGUGGGGAAUAACCUAGGGAAACCUGGGCUAAUACCGCAUAACACUUACGAGUCAAAGCAGCAAUGCGCUUGAGGAGGGGGUCGCGGCAGAUUAGCUAGUUGGUGGGGUAAUGGCCUACCAAGGCGAUGAUCUGUGUCCGGCCUGAGAGGGCGCACGGACACACUGGAACUGAAACACGGUCCAGACUCCUACGGGAGGCAGCAGUGGGGAAUUUUGCGCAAUGGGGGAAACCCUGACGCAGCAACGCCGCGUGGAGGAUGAAAUCCCUUGGGAUGUAAACUCCUUUCGACUGGGAAGAUAAUGACGGUACCAGGAGAAGAAGCCCCGGCUAACUUCGUGCCAGCAGCCGCGGUAAUACGAGGGGGGCAAGCGUUGUUCGGAAUUAUUGGGCGUAAAGGGUGCGUAGGCGGUUUGAUAAGUCUUGUGUGAAAUCUCUGGGCUCAACCCAGAGUCUGCACGGGAAACUGUCGGGCUUGAGUAUGGGAGAGGUGAGUGGAAUUUCCGGUGUAGCGGUGAAAUGCGUAGAUAUCGGAAGGAACACCUGUGGCGAAAGCGGCUCACUGGACCAUAACUGACGCUGAUGCACGAAAGCUAGGGGAGCAAACAGGAUUAGAUACCCUGGUAGUCCUAGCCCUAAACGAUGAUUGCUUGAUGUGGUGGGUACCCAAUCCCGCCGUGUCGAAGCUAACGCGAUAAGCAAUCCGCCUGGGGAGUACGGUCGCAAGGCUGAACUCAAAGGAAUUGACGGGGGCCCGCACAAGCGGUGGAGCAUGUGGUUUAAUUCGACGCAACGCGAGG
rnacentral:rRNA from 1 species